UCUACCGAGGAGGAGGUACCAGCAUUCGUAUUAGAAGCCAUAAUCAAUGAACCGGCUUAAAAGAACAGUUUCGACAAGCAGAGUAUAACCAAACCAGAUAUUUACAUACAAAAUCAGAUACUCACAUACGGAGCCAGAUAAUUACACACAAAGCAUACAAUAAUCAAAUAAGGACAGAGUUACCCUCCUUCUUCGCGACCGGAGAAGAUCAGCCUUCAAUCAACAGAGAA
rnacentral:lncRNA from 1 species